rnacentral:rRNA from 1 species
AGUGAACGCUGGCGGCGUGCUUAACACAUGCAAGUCGAACGAGAACGGAAUAUAGCUUGCUAUAUUUGUCAGCUAAGUGACGCACGGGUGAGUAAUGUAUAGAUAACCUGCCCUUAAGAAAGGAAUAACAGUUGGAAACGACUGCUAAUGCCCUAUAUGCCUUUAAUACAUAAGUAUGCAAGGGAAACGCUUUAGUGCUUAAGGAUGGGUCUGUAUGGUAUCAGCUUGUUGGUGAGGUAAUGGCUCACCAAGGCUAUGACGCCUAACUGGUUUGAGAGGAUGAUCAGUCACACUGGAACUGAGACACGGUCCAGACUCCUACGGGAGGCAGCAGUGGGGAAUAUUGCACAAUGGACGAAAGUCUGAUGCAGCAACGCCGCGUGGAGGAUGACACAUUUCGGUGCGUAAACUCCUUUUAUAUAGGAAGAUAAUGACGGUGCUAUAUGAAUAAGCACCGGCUGACUCCGUGCCAGCCGCCGCCGUAA